rnacentral:rRNA from 1 species
AGUUGCCUACGGGGGGCAGCAGUAGGGAAUCUUCGGCAAUGGGCGAAAGCCUGACCGAGCAACGCCGCGUGAAUGAAGAAGGCCUUCGGGUUGUAAAAUUCUGUUAUAAGGGAGGAAAGGUGAUAGGAGGAAAUGACUGUCAAUUGACGGUACCUUAUGAGAAAGCCACGACUAACUACGUGCCAGCAGCCGCGGUAAUACGUAGGUGGCAAGCGUUAUCCGGAAUUAUUGGGCGUAAAGAGCGCGCAGGUGGUUAAUUAAGUCUGAUGUGAAAGCCCACGGCUUAACCGUGGAGGGGCAUUGGG